rnacentral:rRNA from 1 species
GUCGAGCGAGGCUCCCCAGAUGGGUAACCAUCCGGGGUGUCCUAGCGGCGAACGGGUGAGUAACACGUGAGCAACCUGCCCCGAAGAUCGGGAUAGCCCGGGGAAACCCGGAUUAAUACCGAAUAUCCUCGAUGGAGUGCAUGACCCGCCUAGGAAAGGCUCCGGCGCUUCGGGAUGGGCUCGCGGCCUAUCAGCUUGUUGGCGGGGUAACGGCCCACCAAGGCUACGACGGGUAGCUGGUCUGAGAGGACGACCAGCCACACUGGGACUGAGACACGGCCCAGACUCCUACGGGAGGCAGCAGCAGGGAAUCUUGCGCAAUGGGCGAAAGCCUGACGCAGCGACGCCGCGUGGGGGAUGAAGGCUCUCGGGUUGUAAACCCCUUUCAGGAGGGACGAAGCGAAUGUGACGGUACCUCCAGAAGAAGCCCCGGCCAACUACGUGCCAGCAGCCGCGGUAACACGUACGGGGCGAGCGUUGUCCGGAUUUAUUGGGCGUAAAGAGCUCGUAGGCGGCUUGGCAAGUCGGUCGUGAAAGUCCAGGGCUCACCCUGGAACGCCAGUCAUACUGCUAUGGCUAGGGUCCGGUAGAGGAGCGUGGAAUUCCCGGUGUAGCGGUGAAAUGCGCAGAUAUCGGGAGGAACACCAGUGGCGAAAGCGGCGCUCUGGGCCGGUCCGACGCUCAGGAGCGAAGCUAGGGGAGCAACAGGAUUAGAUACCUGGUAGUCCUGCUGUAACGUUGGCACUUGUGUGCGGACCAUUCACGUCUGCCGUGCCGAGCUAAGGAUUAGUGCCCUCCUGGGGAUACCGCUGCACGCUAAACUCAAGGAUUGACGGGG